AGGAGAGAGAGGCUAUCACAGGCAAUAAAACAGAGACCCAAAUAGGACAGGGAGGUGAGUGGCAGCUCUCAGACUGGGGGGAUUUCUCACCAAAACUGGCAACUUGGCGCAGAAAAUAGUUGUCAAAGUAAUAUAAACUCAUGUUUAUUAUUGAAUGGAGCAAAUUUAGUCAUAAAGAAUGAUUGAUAACUUCUAUUGGGAUGGUUUAAAGCUUUGAUUAGUCAGAAUCUCUGUUCUAAUAUUAAAAAUGAUGACAUGAUAAGUGCCACAGGUUGCUCACAAUAACGAAAAUAUAAAACAUUUUCCACCUAAUUUGCAGUUUCAGAUAUCUGGAGCUGGGUGAUAUGGCUCAAAUGUUACCAUAAAUCUUAAAAAUGAUAAUUAUUAAGACAAAUUAUUACUGUGAUAACACAGUACAAUACCAUUUAACAUCUAAGCACUUGUGAUUAGUUAAUACUUAUAUACUCAUGCGUUCAUGUAUGACAUGAUCAUUAAUCAAUCAAUCAAUCAAUCAAUCAAUCAAUCAAUCAUGUAGAGUUAAAUGAUUUACAGCUUAAGCAGUAUGAGACUUGUUGACUUAGAAAAGAUUUUUUGAAGAACAAAUCGGUCUUUAUACAAACAAUGAAGAUAAACAAAAUGAAGCAUAGCGUUACUUCUGGCAGGUCACGACGUCAAGUGCUUUUCAUCAUGUCGAUCGCUGCCCACAUCGGGGAUCCAUGGCAGAUUGACUGCUUUUCUGAAACACAACAUCAGCAAUGUGAAAUCGAGGAAGCUAGUCCUUGCAAUGACAGCUGCAUUCCCUUCUGCAGGAGCUCUCCUCUGGCAAGUAAAACUUCUAUUUCUCCCAGCUUCAUGAAUGGUGGCGUCCAGGCUCUUGGAAGUCCUUUUAAAAAUAACAUCAAAGCUCCAGAUGGUGCCUCACAUCAAGAGCUUUCCACCUGGUUUAUGGAAAAUAUCCACAUAGAGCAUUCACAUGCAGUUCUCUCUCCCUCCUCUGUCUCCAGAAAAGCGACUGAGAAAAGAAACACUGUUUCUGCAGUGUCAUGGUAGUUCCAGCUUCAGCCGCCGCGUUAUCGCUGCAGAGCGCAAGGCCCAACCCCAGCUAAAAGACCGGCGGACCUGGACAAAAUUCCCAUCCUGAAAGCACUGUCCAGCAUCCAACCAUUGAAGAAUCCGGUUCGGCACGAGCUAAGCUGUCUUUCUCCAUCCCAGCUGUCACACCUGCAUUCACUGCGCUGAACGAUGAUGUCACUCCAGCGACAACCAACGACAGUGUAACCAUCCCGCGAAGGACCCUGGGUAGUGCAGUAGUGCGGUAGUGCAUCAUGAUGCCUGGCUGUUUAAAUCUCCGACCUUAGCUGAUUUCAUGUAGCUUUCGGCGUAUUUGGAGAUGUCAUAUGUGAAGUGUUUUCAGCACGCAGAACUGAACUGGACUCAUGUCUUGCCAUCAUUUCUGAUUCAUCUAUGACUUAUUGAAGAAUAUUAUUCUAGUAAUAUCACAAAUCAUUUUCAGCAAAGCUGCUAUGUACAUUCAAAGAUUCAACCAAAGACUUGAUUAGUCCUUAGUCAACCUGGCUCUAAUCAGUAGACAUUUCACAGAGCAUCAAGCUUUUCCCUGCUCAAUCUGCGGGUCUUUCUCUCACACCCAGAGGUGGAAGUAGGCCGGUACGCAGUGGUAAGUCAUUCGGGGAAGACAUUAUCAGCAGUUUAAAGUUUUCACCCCGUCAUGUAUUUAGGCUUAGUGUGCUGCCGCAUGUCAGUCUGCACUCUGCAUUGUAAUCGUAGUAAUCCAAUAGGACCAUGCUGCUUGAGAGUGAGUGGUAUUUGCUUCCAAAUAAACUCCAGAAGUGGGAGCGCUCAAAGCUCACUUUUGAUUGGACGCUGGUUGCCUGGGCGCUGGGGCCCGCCUCCCGCCUGUUGCUGAAGGAGGGAACUUUUAAAGAGAG
rnacentral:lncRNA from 1 species